UACGUAGGUGGCAAGCGUUGUCCGGAUUUACUGGGCGUAAAGAGCGCGCAGGCGGUCGUGCAAGUCGCGUGUGAAGGCCCCCGGCUCAACUGGGGAGGGUCACGCGAUACUGUUCGACUCGAAGGCAGGAGAGGGAAGUGGAAUUCCCCGGUGUAGUGGUGAAAUGCGGUAGAUAUCUGGAGGAACAUCGGUGGCGAAGGCGGCAUCCUGGACCGGAUUGACGCUGAGGCGCGAAAGCCAGGGGAGCAAACGGG
rnacentral:rRNA from 1 species